rnacentral:rRNA from 1 species
GACAGAGGAUGCAAGCGUUAUCCGGAAUGAUUGGGCGUAAAGCGUCUGUAGGUGGCUUUUAAGUCCGCCGUCAAAUCCCAGGGCUCAACCCUGGACAGGCGGUGGAAACUACCAAGCUGGAGUACGGUAGGGGCAGAGGGAAUUUCCGGUGGAGCGGUGAAAUGCGUAGAGAUCGGAAAGAACACCAACGGCGAAAGCACUUUACUGGGCUAUUACUGACACUGAGAGACGAAAGCUAGGGGAGCGAAUGGGAUUAGAAAACCC